AAAGAGGAAGCUGGCUUAUACAAACUGUGUUGGGUGCCUCCUUCCCUUUCUCCCUCUUCUAUUUCUCCUUUUACCUCUGUAUGUGCUUUACCUAAUUUCUGUAAUGAUGACAUUGUGUCUGAUAGCAAAAAUGUUUGUCUACCUUCAACUGUAAACAAUUCCAUUUGUAAUAAAGUUGAUAUCAAUGAUAUGAAUUACAUUUGGCAUUUAAGACUGGCACAUACUCCCUUUACUAAUAUGAAACACAUUUUGGGUUUGUCUUUUCC
rnacentral:lncRNA from 1 species